GUCCCUUCGAGAACAUUUGAUAAAAUUGGAACAAUACAGAGAAAAUUAGCAUGGUCGCUGUGCAAGGAUGACACGUAUAAAUCGAGAAAUGAUCAAAAAAAAAUUUA